GUCUCUGUAGCGCAAUGGCUAACGCGUUGGACUUUCAAUCCGAAGGUCGUGGGUGCGAAUCCCACCUGGGAUG
rnacentral:tRNA from 1 species